AGCGUACACGGUGGAUGCCCUGGCAGUCAGAGGCGAUGAAGGACGUGCUAAUCUGCGAUAAGCGUCGGUAAGGUGAUAUGAACCGUUAUAACCGGCGAUUUCCGAAUGGGGAAACCCAGUGUGAUUCGUCACACUAUCAUUAACUGAAUCCAUAGGUUAAUGAGGCGAACCGGGGGAACUGAAACAUCUAAGUACCCCGAGGAAAAGAAAUCAACCGAGAUUCCCCCAGUAGCGGCGAGCGAACGGGGAGCAGCCCAGAGCCUGAAUCAGUGUGUGUGUUAGUGGAAGCGUCUGGAAAGGCGCGCGAUACAGGGUGACAGCCCCGUACACAAAAAUGCACAUGCUGUGAGCUCGAUGAGUAGGGCGGGACACGUGGUAUCCUGUCUGAAUAUGGGGGGACCAUCCUCCAAGGCUAAAUACUCCUGACUGACCGAUAGUGAACCAGUACCGUGAGGGAAAGGCGAAAAGAACCCCGGCGAGGGGAGUGAAAAAGAACCUGAAACCGUGUACGUACAAGCAGUGGGAGCACGCUUAGGCGUGUGACUGCGUACCUUUUGUAUAAUGGGUCAGCGACUUAUAUUCUGUAGCAAGGUUAACCGAAUAGGGGAGCCGAAGGGAAACCGAGUCUUAACUGGGCGUUAAGUUGCAGGGUAUAGACCCGAAACCCGGUGAUCUAGCCAUGGGCAGGUUGAAGGUUGGGUAACACUAACUGGAGGACCGAACCGACUAAUGUUGAAAAAUUAGCGGAUGACUUGUGGCUGGGGGUGAAAGGCCAAUCAAACCGGGAGAUAGCUGGUUCUCCCCGAAAGCUAUUUAGGUAGCGCCUCGUGAAUUCAUCUCCGGGGGUAGAGCACUGUUUCGGCAAGGGGGUCAUCCCGACUUACCAACCCGAUGCAAACUGCGAAUACCGGAGAAUGUUAUCACGGGAGACACACGGCGGGUGCUAACGUCCGUCGUGAAGAGGGAAACAACCCAGACCGCCAGCUAAGGUCCCAAAGUCAUGGUUAAGUGGGAAACGAUGUGGGAAGGCCCAGACAGCCAGGAUGUUGGCUUAGAAGCAGCCAUCAUUUAAAGAAAGCGUAAUAGCUCACUGGUCGAGUCGGCCUGCGCGGAAGAUGUAACGGGGCUAAACCAUGCACCGAAGCUGCGGCAGCGACGCUGAUGCGUUGUUGGGUAGGGGAGCGUUCUGUAAGCCUGCGAAGGUGUGCUGUGAGGCAUGCUGGAGGUAUCAGAAGUGCGAAUGCUGACAUAAGUAACGAUAAAGCGGGUGAAAAGCCCGCUCGCCGGAAGACCAAGGGUUCCUGUCCAACGUUAAUCGGGGCAGGGUGAGUCGACCCCUAAGGCGAGGCCGAAAGGCGUAGUCGAUGGGAAACAGGUUAAUAUUCCUGUACUUGGUGUUACUGCGAAGGGGGGACGGAGAAGGCUAUGUUGGCCGGGCGACGGUUGUCCCGGUUUAAGCGUGUAGGCUGGUUUUCCAGGCAAAUCCGGAAAAUCAAGGCUGAGGCGUGAUGACGAGGCACUACGGUGCUGAAGCAACAAAUGCCCUGCUUCCAGGAAAAGCCUCUAAGCAUCAGGUAACAUCAAAUCGUACCCCAAACCGACACAGGUGGUCAGGUAGAGAAUACCAAGGCGCUUGAGAGAACUCGGGUGAAGGAACUAGGCAAAAUGGUGCCGUAACUUCGGGAGAAGGCACGCUGAUAUGUAGGUGAAGUCCCUCGCGGAUGGAGCUGAAAUCAGUCGAAGAUACCAGCUGGCUGCAACUGUUUAUUAAAAACACAGCACUGUGCAAACACGAAAGUGGACGUAUACGGUGUGACGCCUGCCCGGUGCCGGAAGGUUAAUUGAUGGGGUCAGCGCAAGCGAAGCUCUUGAUCGAAGCCCCGGUAAACGGCGGCCGUAACUAUAACGGUCCUAAGGUAGCGAAAUUCCUUGUCGGGUAAGUUCCGACCUGCACGAAUGGCGUAAUGAUGGCCAGGCUGUCUCCACCCGAGACUCAGUGAAAUUGAACUCGCUGUGAAGAUGCAGUGUACCCGCGGCAAGACGGAAAGACCCCGUGAACCUUUACUAUAGCUUGACACUGAACAUUGAGCCUUGAUGUGUAGGAUAGGUGGGAGGCUUUGAAGUGUGGACGCCAGUCUGCAUGGAGCCGACCUUGAAAUACCACCCUUUAAUGUUUGAUGUUCUAACGU
rnacentral:rRNA from 1 species